ACCUGCCUGCUGAGGGACGGAACACGCGUAGGGACUGCGUUGUUGCUUUCCUGGCUGUGGAGCUACAGUGUUUACGCGUUCACUGUGAGGCCGGUCCGCUGGAAUGCUUGCGCCAGAGACUGCCCAUUUUGACACUUUACAGUUUCACUGGAGCACGAAAACAGCCUGGGUUGUGUGACUGUCUUCAAGCUUCUAAAGACAAUGAUUCCCCUUGAAGAUCGCAAUGACGAGUGUGAGGUGCCCAAAAGCCGACCGAUUGGAAAAUGCUCUUACGUAAGGUCUGUGAAUAUGGGCCCUUUUAUUCGUGACCUGCUCCAUCGGAGCCAGCUCAGAGUCAGCGACCCGCCUUUAGCAAAAGUGAACCACUCUAGUCGCGGCGUCAACAUGACACUCGUCAUCUUGACUUACAGUUCACCUUGGUUUUGUGACUGCGGACCGUUCUCAACACAAGAUCGUACGUUAUCACUUUUGUCGACGAACACCUAUUUAAAAACAGGCAAAAAGCUAUUCCUUGAAUUCAAUGCCGAGCUUGUUAGUUCUAGUUGCGACCGUAUAUGUUAAAUAUC